rnacentral:rRNA from 1 species
AUUGAACGCUAGCGGGAUGCUUUACACAUGCAAGUCGAACGGCAGCGCGGACUUCGGUCUGGCGGCGAGUGGCGAACGGGUGAGUAAUGUAUCGGAACGUGCCCAGUAGCGGGGGAUAACUACGCGAAAGCGUAGCUAAAACCGCAUACGCCCUACGGGGGAAAGCAGGGGAUCGUAAGACCUUGCACUAUUGGAGCGGCCGAUAUCGGAUUAGCUAGUUGGUGAGGUAACGGCUCACCAAGGCGACGAUCCGUAGCUGGUUUGAGAGGACGACCAGCCACACUGGGACUGAGACACGGCCCAGACUCCUACGGGAGGCAGCAGUGGGGAAUUUUGGACAAUGGGGGCAACCCUGAUCCAGCCAUCCCGCGUGUGCGAUGAAGGCCUUCGGGUUGUAAAGCACUUUUGGCAGGAAAGAAACGUCGCGGGCUAAUACCCCGUGGAACUGACGGUACCUGCAGAAUAAGCACCGGCUAACUACGUG